UUUCGGCCCUUUCAAGUGGUUCGUGGUCAAUCCAGUGUGGCUCGCUUUGGUGCUGUAUUCACCUGCUCGUCUUCAGGAGCGAUUCCCCUUGAAGUGGUCUUUGAUAAAUCUACGGAUUCAUUUAUUCAAGCUUUGCGUCGAUACGAUGCUCGUUGGGAGCAAGUUUGGAUGAUGAGAUCGGAUAAUGGAACGUACUUCGUGGGAGCCGAAAGGAGUUGAAAGAAAUGUUGGUGGAAGUGCGAAUAUCCGUCAACGCUAAUGACAGACAACGAUGGAACAAGCAGAAACGGAGUGUUUGUGUCGGAGACUCACGUACUUCAUCUGGUAAUGGAAAAUAACCCACGCUAUUGGUGGCUAUUGGUGAGAGUGGUGCUAGUUUUCCCUCAAAAGGAUGGAUGCGUGCGAGAGAUCGGAGUUAAGACAUGUCGCGAAUUGUUGACUACAAGGGACCGAUAUCUCAAUUGGUUAUGCUCCAAGAAAACAACCUAUUACGACUUGAAAAGCCUCUUCAUUGAUGUGCAUACAGAUCGCCUCUCCGGCUUGCCAGUUACUGAGUGAAUUAGUCGACCGGCGACUUUAUUGAACUUAUUCUGUUACUUCCGGAGAAAAUUUCCAGAUCUAGUCGUUCCUGAAAACUUCGUGACCGACGAGAGGCCACAAUAUUCUUCGGGAAAAUUUCGCACUUUAACCAACGCUGGAAUAUCCAUCAUCAAAUCACCAGCCCUAACUACCCAUAGAGCAACGGUCAUGGCGAGAGUGUUGUGAAGGCCACGAGGCUCCUUCUCCAAACGACGACAGUAAACGGUGAUAUUGAGUACGGUAAAUUCCAACGUGGAGUUUUGGAUUGGCGAAAGCUCUCUAUCCAACGUCAAAAGAUCGUGUUGUUCGGAGGACCUUUGGAAUCGGACAUCUUUACUCACCGGAAAAGAUUCGCUCUUGAUUGACAUCAACUUCAAAUCGGGGAGAUUGUGAGGGAGAAAAUCGAGAAGUAUUACAACAGAUAAUAUAUAUACUCGUUCCCUGCGCCCUCUUUGCAUUGGUGACAAAGGCGAUUCUA